AUGGGCAGCAAAAGAUCGCACCGGCCACCUCCUCCCUGUGCCCAUGCUCUGCUUCUGAUCUUUUCACAAGCAGGCAUAAUCCAUUGCUUUCUCCUCUCAAGCUUCACCAGCAAGCAGCCCUCCCUCAUCCACCAUACACACACAAGCAUGCAUACAAAGCACACAAAGCACAUCACAACAACGGCAGCUCCCCUCUCUGCUCCUCUCUUCCGCACAGCAGCAGCACACCGGCGCCCUCACAGCACAGCACCAAGCAUCACAGCAGCAGGAGCUCUGUGUCGCUAUCCUCCUGUCUACGCCGAGCCCGCGCAUUCCUCCACCGCGGCUCCGUCCUGCCAUCACCACCCGCGCCACCGGCCAUUCCCUUCCUUCUAAUCAUUCUGCCGUGGCACCGUCCUGCGUCGCCAUACGGUCGCACCCCGCUAUGCUGCGCUGUGCCACGCCGCUGAACCGCGCUCCGCCCGGCCUCAUGCUGCGUUAUGCCGUCCUAUGCUCUGCAGCCGCCCGAUCACCAAGCCGCUCGGCCGCGUGCCAUCUCCUGCGCCAUGCGGUCCCUUCCGCGCUUGGUUGACGCUGAGCCACGUCGUCGCGCACUACCGCCGUCCGCGUGUCACUGUCACGCCAUGACGCACCGCGCCACUCCCAUCGCAUAGCUCCGCCUGCUCAUCCUCUCGCUCGCGCACGCCCUUCGUGCCACCAGCCACCAGUGUGCUUCGUCGCACCGCCCGCUGCUCGGGUGAGGCCGCUGCCACCGAGAUCCUCACGACCCACGCUUGCCGCGUUCUGCAUCCCAUGCCACCGCGUCGCCCGCUGACCCGAGCCGUCGCCCGCCGCUCGGCUGGCCUAGGCACCCAACCGCUGCACCGGCUGGCCAUCUCCUUCCGCUCCACGCCCUUCGUCACCACUCGUGCCACACCGCCCGCACGCCAUCCACUCGUGCACCAUGCUCACCGCACCUUAGGCCGCCGUUGUUGUGGAGACCCCGCCGAACUUCGUCCUGGCCGGAGUCCUCCCCAUCCUAGCGCCACCUCUUGGCCGGCUCCUCUCCUCCCGCUGGCACCCACUCUUCAACCCAACCGGACUUCCUCCCUCCAGCCGACCACCUUCGGUCGCCCCUCCCUCUCUCUCCCCAGACUCUCUCGUUCUCAUCAUGAGCCACACGGGAGAAAGCAAACCGGCAAACCUUAUCUCAUUCCUCUCUCUCUAGCAGGUGGGCCCCAUCCCCCUUUGGUCCAUAAGGUCGGUCCACGGUGGACCAAACACCGAGCUCCCCCUUCAGUCUACCAGCCUACACACCGGAUCCACAGCACAGUCACCCCACCUGCCCACCAAAUUUGGUCCCUGGUGCACCGCCCUCACAAAUUUCCCUAGUUCAGCAAUUCCAUGGACCGAAUCCAUUGAACAGCUCGAAGUCAAGGUUCUAAGCUAGGGCACGAGGAAGGAACUGAAAAUGAGGCCCGAUGAAGAAGAAUCCAGGAGAUUUGAACGACAAGACCAAUUGUGAAUUGACAUUCGUCAAGAAUCGGAAGACUUCGCGGAGAACCCAGAUGAUCCAGACUUCAAACAAGACUUUGAAGCAGACUUCAUGAAGGCAAGUCCUAUUUCCUUGAUCAUAUUGAACCUAUGUUUUCAAAUAAUCUACAUGAUCAACUAAAACUGGACUUAUCAUCGCAUGAGUUAUGUAUUGUGUUUUCUUUCAAACUAAUUGUAGUGGUUAAUCCUAUCAACACUGUCAUACCUUACAUGUCAUCAUCUAGAAUACAUAUCACCAUAGAAGUACCUGUUGUUAAAUAUAUUAACGAUGGACGACACCUUGAUAUCUAGCAUGCUUAGGAUGGAAUACACCUCCUCAGAGAUAUCGCUUUUAAAAUUCCUCUCUUCGGAGAUAUCGAUUUACUGUUAUCAAUGAUAACUCAUAUACCAUGAAUACUUGAUGGUUGUGAAUUAUGUGAUGGUUGUGAAAUCAUUCAUGUCGUGUGGGAUAUGACGGGAGAUGUGUAAAAUUGGUGAAAACUAUUUUGGCGGGGGCAAGCGGGAUAGUCCUCAGAGUUGGAGGCUAUCGCGUACAUUGGGGGCUUGAGGUGAUACUCAUUGCCAACGCUGAAGAUGCCUGCCCCAGCUGCUUAAGCACCGAAUCUUGGGUCGUCAUGCUAAGCCACCCUAGUACAACCAUACGUCCUGAAUGGGCAAGACUUGACUCUUCUUUCACCGGACUGGAUUAGGCAUAAUACCAGGAGGCCUGAGAGGCAACGUCAAGCUAAGUGUUUUCAGGUUCUGCGCGAAGGAGUUUCUGCCGCAGUCGGUCAUCGGGGGUCUACCCUCUAUAUGAGACCUGAAGAACUUGAUGUAUCACGUAGAAAAGCCUAGCAUGAAAAGUGAUUGAAGUGUCUCGGUAUGAUUUCCUCAUCCACCUGCAACAGAUGGAGGCUGAGCAUAUUGUGUGGGUACAGUGUACAACCUCUGAAAGUGUAAACCUAUUAGAAUAGUCAUGUCUGCGGUCAUGGACAUUCGAAGCAUUGACCUCACUUGAUUAGUCUAAGGGAUGCGUGUGUCUUGAUGAGUGAGUAUGUGGAUUAGAUGUCCGUGUUAUGAGGUUCUUGGCUCGAUCCGCCAGAAGCUGUGUGGUACUAGAGGUACACCAGAUGUGAUAAUAGGGACCGCAGAGUGAGGUGUAGCCCCUCCCAGGACCGAAAACCCCAGAUAUAUUUGAUGCUUGGUUUUGAACGAUUUAAACUGCUUUAAAGGUUAAAAUAGAGAAUACAAUGGAAUACUUGCAUAAAAUUGCUUUACGCUUAAAACUAAACCAUAAAGCGUUGUCCUUGUUUCAUCCCUUAUGCAUCUAUCAAACACUUUGAAGUAGUAUAAGACUUGCUGACUACCUUUCGUACUCAUUCUUGUUGUCAUUCAAAUGAAGAAACUGA